AUGGCUACACAAACCGUUGAGGGUAGUUCUAGAUCUGGUCCAAGACGAACUGUUGUAGGAGAUUUAUUGAAACCAUUGAAUUCAGAAUAUGGUAAAGUAGCUCCGGGGUGGGGAACUACCCCUUUGAUGGGGAUUGCAAUGGCCCUAUUUGCGUUCGACCGCGAAACUUCUUUGUUUCUGUAUUUCCGGAAUAUGAGUGUGUGA